rnacentral:lncRNA from 1 species
AGGGGGGCAAACACAAACUACCUACAUUCAUCAUUUCCCUCAUUUGUCUUUUAUUUUCUUGCAUUUGUGAAUUAGUUCAAGAAUGCUAGAAAAGUGUCGAGUUGUGCACAUCCAUUUCUUGUUUCACAAUGUUUAAAAGUGACAGUAAUUCAUUUUGUAAACUAAAAAAAAAAAGGUUGGAAUAGAGAGCAUAAUAGGUACAACCUAACACAUUAUUAUGUUUAUUAACUUUGAGACCCAGAAAUAAAUUCUUUCCUUUUCUUUAUUCUUGCUCUUAAAAAUACAAAAAAAAAAAAAGUUUUGUUUUGUGUUAUUUUUGGUUUGUUUAUUGGGGGGGCUUUUUUUAAUUGUCAGGAUUAUGAUCUUGCUGUAUUUCUUCAAUACGUAUACAAGGUGAUGUGAAAAGAUGACAUGGGCAGAAUAGUAAGAACAAGUAGGC